CAGCCACGGGAAUACGUAGGUGGCAAGCGUUGUCCGGAAUUAUUGGGCGUAAAGCGCGCGCAGGCGGAUAGGUCAGUCUGUCUUAAAAGUUCGGGGCUUAACCCCGUGAUGGGAUGGAAACUGCCAAUCUAGAGUAUCGGAGAGGAAAGUGGAAUUCCUAGUGUAGCGGUGAAAUGCGUAGAUAUAUGGAGGAACACCGGUGGCGAAAGCGGCUCUCUGGCUUGUAACUGACGCUGAGGCUCGAAAGCGUGGGGAGCAAACAGGAUUAGAUACCCGAGUAGUCCCUGUCUCUUAUACACAU
rnacentral:rRNA from 1 species